AUAAAGGACUUGUCUAGGGGAGAGCCUAUGGAUCUGAGAACGCUGUCUGGGCUUGGUGCCAAGGGCUGGUAUUUCACAGCAGCGACCGCCUCACAGACGAGCUGUGGGAAGCAGGAGGGAGACUCUCUCUUAGGGUGCCACUACUAUGGAGACACAGCUGGGCUGAACAAGAUUUGCUUCAAACGACAACAAGAGAGACAGAAAGUAUCUGGUUCAACCGCUGCCCGAGCAGGCAGGCACCAGAAGAGCUAGCAGCCAAUCCGGCCAUGCUCGAAGCCAGCUCUGCAGCUCAGCCAAUCAGUGACAUCAUUGCUUUCUUUAGCUUGCCCAUGGUGAUGUGAAGAUGAGAAGAAAUAGCAAGGCCCAACCAGUUCUUCAUCUGGAGACAGUUCAACGUUCUGCAAACCAGAUCUUCAGGAAUUUUACUGGGAUAAUUAUCCAAAUAAAUUGCAAGCAUUCUAUCCAAAUGGACAUCCAUAAAAAUUCAUCAGAGAGCAUUUUACUACUGAGCUGCAAAGGGAAAAACUUAAAAUGGAUAUGAAAAGUGAAGAAAGUGAUCAUAGGAGAAAACCAUUUCAGGUGUCUGAUGAUUUGUGAGCCUCAAGUGACUACUCUGUGGAAUCAUCUGUCCUUGCCUUUGAAUUCGCUUUCCCUAGGCCAUGGGUCAACAUUAGUAGUUUAUACAUCCAAAUUGAUGACAAGAGCACCUCAAAGGCAGCAGCCUCAAGGAGCAGCCAUGGCCCCAGACUUGUCGCACGGAUGCAGAAAACUUAAUGGAGGAGGCUGAGGUCAGAAUGGGAAGAGUUUUUAAAAAAUAAAAAGGGGAGCUAAUAUGUGAGGAACUGAUUGCUGCGCAUUAUUUUCCACUGAACAGACCUUCUUUUAACUUCUAAUCUCAAGCACAUAGCAGCUGUUGUUUUCAUAUCAAAGAUCAGUAAGUGUUUGUUGAAUGAAUGUAUAAAUUCUUCCCCAAUCUCUGUUCCAUGUAAUAAGAACUAAGUUAGCAUUCAAUUAUAAAGAGGACUUAGAAAGUCUGCAGACAUUUUUGAUCAAAAAUCCUUUUAACUGUCUUCUUAUGGUUCCCGGUAACACCUAAGCCCAAAAAACUCAGGUCAUUUCUUGCCUGUACUGUUGCAAUAGCCUCAUAAUAACUAGUCUUCUCCUUUAUCAACCACAGUCGUCUCCACUACACAAAGAAGAGAGGGUGCUAAUCUAAAGUGUAAAUUAUUUUAAAUCAGCACCCUUCUUGUAAUUUCCCAGUGGUUUUUCCUGUCAUAAGAAUAACAUGCAAAAUUCCUUGCUUGCAAAGCCAGGUAUGACCUUGCCCCGUCUACCUUACUGGCAUCGUCUCUCAUGACUCUUCCCCUUUUUCACUCUCCAUCUCGCCUUUUCCCAACCAUGCCUGCUAGUGAGCCUUAGCCCUUGUGUUUUCUCUGCCAGGGAUGCAUGACUGGCUUCUUUACUUUAUUCUGAUCUCUCUGCUCAAAUGUCAUCUUUUUAGAGAUAGCUUUCCUAAACAUCUUUAAAAGUACCCCCAUGAACUGUGAAACACCUUUCCUGCUUUAAGUUUUCUUCAUAGUACUUAUCACUUCCUGACAUUAUGUUAGACAACAAGCAAAUAAGUAUAUGCUGUUCCCACUAAAAUAUAAGCUCCAUUUGAACAGGAGCCUUGAUUAUUCCUGAGUAUACCCCUAGUGCCCAGAACCUAGUAGGGCUUUAAUAAAUAUUAGAUUCAUUUGUUGAAUGAAAAAAUGAAUGAAUAAUUGAAUAAAGAUAUCCAGGUAGAGUAUCCGGGCAGCCCAACCUAUGUGAAGCCAGUACAAGAAUGUUUCUGUGACACAGUGAAUGCAAUUAUUCCUCCAAAUGAUGAACUUGCAUGAGUACACAAGGAUAAAAUUAAGCACGUAGUUUAGAUUUCUGCAAGUCUCUUCCUCAGAUUGAGGAAAAACAAAGAAAUUGAGCUUAUUCUCACCUCAUUCUUACAUGAACUAAAUCCAGAAUAAAGCAUCAUUUAUAUACCAAGCACAUCCCUACCUCAGCCACUCAUGGAAUACUUUAUCUGUAAAGGGACAGAUAGUAAAUAUUUUUGGCUUUGGGGACCGUAGAGUCUGUGUCCCCGCUACUCAGCACUUCUGUUGAGGUGUGGAAUCAGCCCUAGACAACACAUAAACAAAUGGGUGUGGCUGUGUUCCAAUCAAAUGUUAUUUAUAAAACUAGGAAAUCAGCAGAUUUAGUCCACAGGCUGUAGUUUGCUGACCCUUGAAUUAGAGUCUUCCCCAAAUCCUCUUCCCAAGUUAUUGAAAGAAUGCCCAUAGGACCAUAGCUCCCUCACCUGGUUCUUUCAAGAAAUGAGACAAAUUCAGGGAUGGUUGGAGGGUGGAACGCCUACCUGUGACAUGACUAUUGAGCCUGAUUUCUUUCCUUUUAUCUCUUUAAAGUGAGUCAGGUCUUAACUUUAAACUGUCUCUAAAGUGGCAAUAACUGGGCCAUGUCAAAUACUCCCAAUGACAAAAUUUCUUCUUGGAGAAUGAAUGAGGGUUGCAUACAGUGGUGUGUUGGUAAAUGUUUAGCAACUGGCUCUCUUACUGAUUUCUGUAGUGUAAAUUCUGCCAUCCUGGCCAUCUGAAACUACCAAUAUGAAUGAUGUCACUUGAUGUAGAGUUGGGAAAAGACAGUCUCUUGAAUAAGUAUGAGCUGGUUCCAGCCCACUGCUGAACACAUAUUUAAAAGCUACAAUAGCUCUGCUCACUGCCAUUGCAGAGUCUGGAGGAAAGAGUAGUGGGCUUGAUAGGAGUAAUUGGCUGGAUAAUCUUUUGCAAUGCCAAUAAAUAAUGAAAAAGUAUAUAAAUAUAAUGCUGUAUAGAAAGCUCUCAAGUUCAGUGUUUGGUUAAAAUACAUACUCAGUAAAUGGUAGCUAUUAUCGUCUUAGUUUAAGUUAUUGCAAGCAUUAAAAUUAAACGUUUAGCUACAGACUCAAUCCCAUUUUAAUGUCAUUGUGUUAAUAAGGCCUCUUAACAUUGAAGCAACAAAGAUAAAGGAAUUUUUUUGUAGCUAUUCACGAUUCUGCCCAGCUCAAGGUAAAGAUAGCAACAAAAUACUCCAACCAGAAUAAAAGAAGUCUCCACUUGACUGCAGCUCUUCACAACACUUCACAAGGGUCAAGCUGUGUUAGUUUCCUUCAGUGUUAAACACAAUGCGUCUUAAGAGAAUAGUUCAAUUAUUAAUUGAAUAGUAGGUUCAAGUUGACUAUAAUCCCAACGAAUACACUCUAAGACCAGGGAUGGGCCGACAGAAGGGUAAAGUUUUCCACUCAAGUCUCGAGGCAAACACUCAGAUAGAAGUAGUAAUAUGGAUGCCUUCUAUUAUUUGGUCACAUACAAUACUGUUCCAGCCCAGUUGUGCAAAACUGGUGAAAUAAAAGGCAAAAAUAUUGACAACAGUUUGGGUAACUGGAUUCCAAAAUGGGCAUCCAUCUAAGAG
rnacentral:lncRNA from 1 species